GAGUUUGAUCGUGGCUCAGAUUGAACGCUGGCGGCAUGCCUUACACAUGCAAGUCGAACGGCAGCAUGAUCUAGCUUGCUAGAUUGAUGGCGAGUGGCGAACGGGUGAGUAAUACAUCGGAACGUGCCCUGUAGUGGGGAGUAACUAGUCGAAAGAUUAGCUAAUACCGCAUACGACCUGAGGGUGGAAAGUAGGGGGACCGGCAAGGCCUCAUGCUAUAGGAGCGGCCGAUGUCUGAUUAGCUAGUUGGUGGGGU
rnacentral:rRNA from 1 species